rnacentral:tRNA from 1 species
GUGGGCAUAGCUCAGCUGGUUAGAGCGCUGGACUGUGGCUCCAGAGGUCGAGGGUUCAAAUCCCUCUGUCCACCCCA